GGGGAAUUGUUCACAAUGGGCGCAAGCCUGAUGACGCAACGCCGCGCGGAGGAUGAAGGUCUUCGGAUUGUAAACUCCUGUUGCCCGGGACGAAAAGCUUCGACCUAAUACGUCGAAGUCUGACGGUACCGGGUGAGGAAGCCCCGGCUAACUCUGUGCCAGCAGCCGCGGUAAUACGGAGGGUGCGAGCGUUGUCCGGAAUCACUGGGCGUAAAGGGCGCGUAGGCGGCCUGAUAAGUAGGGGGUGAAAUCUUGCGGCUUAACCGCAAGGCUGCCUUCUAAACUGUCAGGCUAGAGCACAGUAGAGGCAGGUGGAAUUCCCGGUGUAGCGGUGGAAUGCGUAGAGAUCGGGAAGAACAUCAGUGGCGAAGGCGGCCUGCUGGGCUGUUGCUGACGCUGAGGCGCGACAGCGUGGGGAGCAAA
rnacentral:rRNA from 1 species